UACGUAGGGUGCAAGCGUUGUCCGGAAUUAUUGGGCGUAAAGAGCUCGUAGGCGGUUUGUCGCGUCUGCUGUGAAAACCCGAGGCUCAACCUCGGGCCUGCAGUGGGUACGGGCAGACUAGAGUGCGGUAGGGGAGAUUGGAAUUCCUGGUGUAGCGGUGGAAUGCGCAGAUAUCAGGAGGAACACCAAUGGCGAAGGCAGAUCUCUGGGCCGUAACUGACGCUGGAGGAGCGAAAGCAUGGGGAGCGAACAGGA
rnacentral:rRNA from 1 species